rnacentral:rRNA from 1 species
UACAGAGGGUGCAAGCGUUGUUCGGAAUUAUUGGGCGUAAAGCGCGUGUAGGCGGCUUUGCAAGUCGGGUGUGAAAGCCCUCAGCUCAACUGAGGAAGUGCGCCCGAAACUGCAGAGCUUGAGUGCCGGGAGAGGGUGGGCGGAAUUCCCCAAGUAGAGGUGAAAUUCGUAGAUAUGGGGAGGAACACCGGUGGCGAAGGCGGCCGCCUGGACGGGUAAACUGACGCUGGAGACGCGAAAGCGUGGGGAGCAAACAGG